rnacentral:rRNA from 1 species
GACGAACCGUCCAAACGUUGUUCGGAAUCACUGGGCUUAAAGGGCGCGUAGGCGGGUUGCAAGUCGGGGGUGAAAUCUUUCAGCUUAACUGGAAAAGUGCCCCCGAUACUGCGAGUCUUGAGGGAGGUAGGGGCAUGUGGAACUAAUGGUGGAGCGGUGAAAUGCGUAGAUAUCAUUAGGAACGCCGGUGGCGAAAGCGACGUGCUGGACCUCUUCUGACGCUGAGGCGCGAAAGCCAGGGGAGCAAACGGG